UACGUAGGUGGCAAGCGUUGUCCGGAUUUACUGGGCGUAAAGAGCGCGCAGGCGGUCGUUCAAGUCGCGUGUGAAAGCCCCCGGCUCAACUGGGGAGGGUCACUCGAUACUGAUCGACUUGAAGGCAGGAGAGGGAAGCGGAAUUCCCGGUGUAGUGGUGAAAUGCGUAGAUAUCGGGAGGAACACCAGUGGCGAAGGCGGCUUCCUGGCCUGUUCUUGACGCUGAGGCGCGAAAGCU
rnacentral:rRNA from 1 species